rnacentral:rRNA from 1 species
UGGGGAAUAUUGCACAAUGGGGGAAACCCUGAUGCAGCGACGCCGCGUGAGCGAAGAAGGCUUUCGAGUCGUAAAGCUCUGUCCUAUGAGAAGAUAAUGACGGUAUCAUAGGAGGAAGCCCUGGCUAAAUACGUGCCAGCAGCCGCGGUAAUACGUAUGGGGCGAGCGUUGUCCGGAAUUAUUGGGCGUAAAGGGUACGUAGGCGGUUUUUUAAGUCAGGUGUCAAAGCGUGGAGCUUAACUCCAUUAAGCACUUGAAACUGAAAGACUUGAGUGAAGGAGAGGAAAGUGGAAUUCCUAGUGUAGCGGUGAAAUGCGUAGAUAUUAGGAGGAAUACCGGUGGCGAAGGCGACUUUCUGGGCUCAUUCUGACGCUGAGGAACGAAAGCGUGGGUAGCAAACAGG